rnacentral:lncRNA from 1 species
GGCGGGGCCAACGGUGUGUUGGGGGGCGGGGGUGUGUGUGUGAGAUUGAGAGAGAGGCUGUGUGUAUGUAUGAGGGAUAUUGUGUGUGCGUAAGAGACCGUUAGAGAGUGUGAGAGAGACGCUGAGCGUGAUUUGUGUGUGUGUGUGAGAGAGAUUCUAUAUAAAAGAAACUGCGUAUAAGAGAUUGUAUGCACUUUGGGAGGCCGAGGCGGGCAGAUAGCUUGAGCCCAGGAGUUGGAGACCAGCCUGGGCAACCCCAUCUCUACUAAAAAUAGAAUUAGGCGGGCGUGGUGGCGGCAGUGUGGUCCCAGCUACUCAGGAGGCUGAGGUGGGAGGAUCGUCUCAGCGCGGGAAGUCGAGGCUGCAGUGAGCAGAGAUCACACCACUGCACUCCAGCGUGGGCGACAGAACCAGACCCCGUUUCAGAGAGAGAGAGAGAGAGAGAGAGGAGGG